rnacentral:rRNA from 1 species
CCUACGGGUGGCAGCAGUGAGGAAUAUUGGUCAAUGGUCGGGAGACUGAACCAGCCAAGCCGCGUGAGGGAGGAAGGUACAGAGUAUCGUAAACCUCUUUUGUCAGGGAACAAAGACUGCGACGCGUCCUCGGAUGAGUGUACCUGAAGAAAAAGCAUCGGCUAACUCCGUGCCAGCAGCCGCGGUAAUACGGAGGAUGCGAGCGUUAUCCGGAUUUAUUGGGUUUAAAGGGUGCGCAGGCGGACUGGUCAAUUCAGCGUCAAAAGGCGGGGGCCCAACCCGGCCGCGCCGUUGAAACUGGUAUUCUAGAGUUGGCGAGAAGUAUGCGGAAUGCGCGGUGUAGCGGUGAAAUGCAUAGAUAUCGCGCAGAACUCCGAUUGCGAAGGCAGCAUGCCGGCUCCACACUGACGCUGAGGCACGAAAGCGUGGGUAUCGAACAGGAUUAGAUACCCUAGUAGUC